rnacentral:rRNA from 1 species
CAUUACCGAGUUUACAACUCCCAAACCCCUGUGAACAUACCUAUUUGUUGCCUCGGCGGUGCCUGUUCCGACAGCCCGCCAGAGGACCCCAAACCCUGAUUACAUUUAAGAAGUCUUCUGAGUAAACCGAUUAAAUAAAUCAAAACUUUCAACAACGGAUCUCUUGGUUCUGGCAUCGAUGAAGAACGCAGCGAAAUGCGAUAAGUAAUGUGAAUUGCAGAAUUCAGUGAAUCAUCGAAUCUUUGAACGCACAUUGCGCCCGCUAGUAUUCUGGCGGGCAUGCCUGUCCGAGCGUCAUUUCAACCCUCAAGCCCCCGGGCUUGGUGUUGGGGAUCGGCGAGCCUCCGCGCCCGCCGUCCCCUAAAUCUAGUGGCGGUCUCGCUGUAGCUUCCUCUGCGUAGUAGCACACCUCGCACUGGGAAACAGCGCGGCCACGCCGUUAAACCCCCAACUUCUGAACGUUUGACCUCGGAUCAGGUAGGAAUACCCGCUGAACUUAAGCAUAUCAAA